AUUGAACGCUGGCGGCAUGCUUUACACAUGCAAGUCGGACGAGUGGCGAACGGGUGAGUAACGCAUCGGAACGUACCGAGUAAUGGGGGAUAACUGUCCGAAAGGACAGCUAAUACCGCAUAUUAUUCGAGCGGCUGACGUCUGAUUAGCUGGUUGGCGGGGUAAAGGCCCACCAAGUCGACGAUCAGUAGCGGGUCGGAGAGGAUGAUCAGCCACACGGUGACUGAGACACGGCCCAGACUCCUACGGUAGGCAGCAGUGAGGAAUUUUGGCCAAUGGACGCAGGCCUGGUCCAGCCAUGCCGCGUGUCUGAAGAAGGCCUUCGGGUUGUAAAGGACUUUUGUCAGGGAAGCGGUACCUGAAGAAUAAGCACCGGCUAACUACGUGCCAGCCGCCGCGGUAAUUC
rnacentral:rRNA from 1 species